rnacentral:rRNA from 1 species
GGCGGACGGGUGAGGAAUACAUCGGAAUCUACUCUGUCGUGGGGGAGUAACGUAGGGAAACUUACGCUAAUACCGCAUACGACCUACGGGUGAAGCAGGGGAUCUUCGGACCUUGCGCGAUUGAAUGAGCCGAUGUCGGAUUAGCUAGUUGGCGGGGUAAAGGCCCACCAAGGCGACGAUCCGUAGCUGGUCUGAGAGGAUGAUCAGCCACACUGGAACUGAGACACGGUCCAGACUCCUACGGGAGGCAGCAGGC